ACAGGAAUUGCUGGGUCACAUGGUUACCCUAUGACUAACCUAUUGAGGAUCAGCAAAAUUGUUUUCUAAAAUGGCUACAUCAUUUUAUAUUCCCAUCAGCAAU
rnacentral:pre_miRNA from 1 species